rnacentral:rRNA from 1 species
GACGUAGGGUGCGAGCGUUGUCCGGAUUUAUUGGGCGUAAAGAGCUCGUAGGCGGCUCGUCGCGUCGACCGUGAAAACCCGCGGCUUAACUGCGGGCUUGCGGUUGAUACGGGCGGGCUAGAGUUCGGUAGGGGAGACUGGAAUUCCUGGUGUAGCGGUGAAAUGCGCAGAUAUCAGGAGGAACACCGAUGGCGAAGGCAGAUCUCUGGGCCGAUACUGACGCUGAGGAGCGAAAGCGUGGGGAGCGAACAGG